UAGCUACUCCCUCCGUUCCGAAUUACUUGCCACAGAUAUGGAUGUAUCUAGAUGUAUUUUAGCUCUAGAUACAUCCAUUUCUAAGACGAGUAAUUUGGAACGGAGGGAGUAGAUG
rfam:Triticum urartu cultivar G1812 contig1221894, whole genome shotgun sequence.